GCUCUCAUCCUCAUCGUUCUGAGGCCGCGAAAAAUUGAAUUAAAACUCAAAAACCCCCGCCACGAAUUUUGUUCUCCCGCUCCCUAAAUUUAAGUUAAAUUACAAAACAAAGCGGGGGAGAAAAGAAAAGGAGAGUCUGUCUUAGAGGUCUCCCCCAACCCUGUCCAAUAUCUGAUCUUUGAGAUUGAAGCAGAGCACUGAUGUCUGGGCGUGGAAAUGGAGGCAAGGUUUUGGGUAAGGGAGGAGCAAAACGACAUCGUAAGGUCUUCCGCGAUAGCAUCAAGGGCACCAAGCUGUCGACGGCGAGGAGAAGGAGAAUACAUCACACCGGGAAUUUGGUGGGCGGGACACAGUUUCAUUCGAGCGGCAAUAGGGGGACAUGGAUCAGUUCACUCAGACCAGGUGUUAUAUUAUUCAGUAUCGAAUUGUUAUGCACACAAGGUGUUCGACAAAAUGAUUCUAAAUUGCUUUCUUUUGAGUUUAAGACUUUGGGUUUAACCUACAGCAGGUUUUGGUCUUUUUGUCUUAUGCCACUAGUGAUUGAUCUUAAUUACCAGUUACUAAAGUAUUUGGGUAGCUAGACAUGAUCACGGGAAUCUAGUCUCACUCAGUGGUCAGCUAGUGACUUCCACCGAGGAGGUGCAUAUUACGUGUAAAGAUGCGGUUGUUUCCGGUUUAUCAGAUGGAGACCAGAGAGGCUAUUUCCGUUUUACUAGAGGGAGUCAUGAAAGGUACUGACUUGUGAGAAUAGUCUAGAUUGUGAUGUAGGGUCUCAAGUAUUUAGAUCUGGUUUGUAUUGUAAAGGUUUCUGUAAAUCUCUCAUCCCAAACGUUAAGUGCAAAUAGGAAUUCAAUAAUUUUUUUUGCUUGUAUAAUUACCGUAUGGCUUCAAGUUAAGCAGAGAGCACAUUUUUCUGUUUC